AUGUACCACUCGUACACUGCGGUUCCUGCGCGCCGUCCGCGCCCACCUGACGGCUGCUCGCUACGUUUUGUUAGCA
rnacentral:sRNA from 4 species